AUUGAACGCUGGCGGCAUGCUUUACACAUGCAAGUCGAACGGUAACAGGUUAAGCUGACGAGUGGCGAACGGGUGAGUAAUGCAUCGGAACGUGCCCGGUCGUGGGGGAUAACGCAGCGAAAGCUGCGCUAAUACCGCAUACGAUCUGAGGAUGAAAGCGGGGGACCGUAAGGCCUCGCGCGAUCGGAGCGGCCGAUGUCAGAUUAGGUAGUUGGUGGGGUGAAGGCUCACCAAGCCGACGAUCUGUAGCUGGUCUGAGAGGACGACCAGCCACACUGGGACUGAGACACGGCCCAGACUCCUACGGGAGGCAGCAGUGGGGAAUUUUGGACAAUGGGCGCAAGCCUGAUCCAGCAAUGCCGCGUGCAGGAAGAAGGCCUUCGGGUUGUAAACUGCUUUUGUACGGAGCGAAAAGGCUCUCUCUAAUACGGAGGGCUCAUGACGGUACCGUAUGAAUAAGCACCGGCUAACUACGUGCCAGCCGCCGCCGUAA
rnacentral:rRNA from 1 species